rnacentral:snRNA from 1 species
ACUCGCUUCGGCGGUACAUAUACUAAAAUUGGAACGAUACAGAGAAGAUUAGCAUGGCCGCUGCGUAAGGAUGACGCAAAAUCCUGAAGCGUUCCACAUUUUU